UGUAGUCUGCAACUCGACUGCAUGAAGCUGGAAUCGCUAGUAAUCGCGAAUCAGAAUGUCGCGGUGAAUACGUUCCCGGGUCUUGUACACACCGCCCGUCACACCAUGGGAGCCGACAACGCCCGAAGUCAGUGACCUAACCGAGAGGGAGGAGCUGCCGAAGGCGGGGUUGGUAACUGGGGUGAAGUCGUAACAAGGUAUC
rnacentral:rRNA from 1 species